CUUUUAAAUAACUCUUAAGUUAUAAUAACCUUUCUUCCUCUUCAAAAACAGAUUUUAAAUUUAAAACAAUGCAUGUAGACUGAAGACGUAAACUACACUAAAGGAGUCUGUUUAAAGUGUUUGAUUUGACAAUUAAAAGCACACCUUUAAUGUUUCUCUCUCUUUUUAUACUUAAAAAGGACCCUAGAGGUAAGACCUGUGCUCUUUAAAAUAACCUGGAUAGCUUCCUAAUGUCUAUAGAGAGAACUAAAGCAUUCGAUGCUUGGGUAUGUAUUAAACUUUUCUUGAAUGACAUUUUAUUUUUGGUCUCACUCGGAAUGGGAAAUGUAUUACAGCCUGAAAUAAUUUGAAUUUAAAAGUUAAGUUAUGCAGGGGCCAUAUUUGUCAAGACUGAUGCAAAGACAAGUUGGCUGCUUUUAGCAAAAGGACAGGAGAGGACUGUUAAACUUUUAAGUGCAGCAUUGUAAAGGUAACCCUAACCCUAAAUUUGUAAGUGAGUAGUGUUACAUUUAUAUACUUAAAACUGUUUGGUAACAGCGUGCAAUGAUUUAAAAGAUUCUGUCGUUAAAAAAUAUAAAAGUAAAGUGGAAAAAAAUAUACAAACACACAGUAAUAGAUUUUGCUUAUAAUAUUUUUGUACUAACGUUCUAGAGCAGAACUGUAAUGCAACUCAUGCUAAAAGUGCUCAGUGUCAAAUCUAGAUCCAUCUGUUUGUAAUGCUGCUCCUGUUUUUUUUUCUUUUGCGAUUUAAUUGUUUAACGUAUUGAAAUACUCAAAUGUCCUACCUAAAAAGUUACCUGGAAAAGCUUGAGUUGCAUGACUCAAACUUGGCAGAUUGCAUGAGCUUCCUCAAUACAGUAUAGUUUAUCAUGGCAAUGUUUGGUUAUUCGCUCAUAGCGAUCUCUCUUCCCUCAGGUUGUGAUGCCUGGCAAUUCCUGGAAAUGCAAAGUUUAAUUGAGAAUGUCAGACCUCUCCUCAGGAAAAGACAAGUGUUUGUUUGCAGUGUAAGAACAAUCUUACCUCUGAACACCAGCUGCCUUUAAGGAACCGUGGACAGUCUGACUGAACAGCUUCUGAACUGGGUCGAAUGGCAGAAAUCGAUGGUCCUGUCGACUAAAGUUUGAACCACCAACCUCUUAAUGGGUUAAAGCGGAAAAGUCUUGAGUUCUUGGUGAUGUUUAUAUUGGCUCUCCAGUUGUAAUGCAAGGUCAUUUUCUCUGUGCUCUGUUUCUCAUGUUUCUCUUUUCUGUUCACCUCAUCAAGUGCUUUCUAAGCACACUUUACUUUAAAUGUAUAUCUUUAAAUGGACUACUUCUGUUCAUGUUGGCUAAGAAGUCAUUUUAACAAGCUCAAAAAAUUCUGUCCAGGCUCUCCAGACGUCUACUUCAGACAAUACUCCAGUGCUUUAUUCUGCAAGACAAGCAUGUCUUCCCCGAUUCCUUGCUCGGACGAAUGUACGUGCUAAUUUAGAGCUGUCCGGCCCCCAUCUCUUAGAACCGACUUUGUCCUUUAAUUGCCAUGGUAAUUUUCAUCGUGCUCUUGAGUAGAUAUGUUUGAAUGGGUUUAUGCUGGUGGAGCUCUAACAUUUUUACCUUCUGGAUAAAGGUCUUUCUUGCCUUAAUUGAGAGCUUUUCAUAAAUUCUGCUUUGCUUUCUAAUCCUCGCUGUGUUUGUGUCACUGUUAGUGUCUAUUGCUGUGGCUUCCAUCUUUUGCUCACCCCCCGCCUCCCUCACUCCAGUGCACAUAGGAUUUGAGCCUGCCAUUUUGACCAAUUAUCAUCGCUGACAGUGUGUCCGUCCCCCCGCGGAGCCGCCACUGUUUGCCGACUGGCUAACAGGACUAAUGCCUUAUUGCAUUAGAGACAAAUCAGUCCUCAGCACAGAUUUGAAUAAGCAUCAGCCACCGCUCAAGUGCCAUCGAACAAUUGGAAAUGGGUGUGUGUGGGUAGGAGGUGGACCGAUUCGUAUGCAGGCUUCACCGUAAUGAGAAAUUGCAAAAGCAGAUAAUGGAAAUAUUUAAUACAUUUCCCAGACAGAUGCUAGGGGGUAAAGAAAACUAGUCUCAAGCAGGAGGAAAUAUUCAAACCCACUGUGUGCACUUAAUGGUUCUUUGUUUACAUUGUCAUAUCUGUCAGACAUGCAUGGCCUACAGCUGCUGGGUAAAUGCCUCUGGGGUAAUGUGCAAAGAAUGUGUGGUGGUCUGAAGCCGGGGGAUUGUGGCUUGGCAGCUCUUUCCUCUUAACACACAUUGUGCAUGCUGAAAACAGGAAGCAUGGCUUUGCGAAUGCAAAUGAAACGCUCACACCACUGACUGUCUGUCUUCCUGCAUGGCUAAUUUGCUAGGUUCACACCUAACCAGUACACACUUUCCAGGGAGUCAGGGUUUUGAGUGCACAGGGAGGAGUUGUGACUGUUUCUGGCUCACGUCCUGGAGAACCAUGGCCGCUGGCCACCUCCUUCAGCGUGAAAAGCUGGUAAUAACUAAGCCUCCUAAAGGUCUCUCUCAUUGUGCUGUGAUGAAAAUGAAUUGAAUCCAUCCAUGUGGAAUCUGGCUUGAGUAAUCCGUAGCCCUCCAGGACU